CCUACGGGCGGCAGCAGUGGGGAAUAUUGGACAAUGGGGGGAACCCUGAUCCAGCCAUGUCGCGUGUGUGAAGAAGGCCCUCGGGUUGUAAAGCACUUUCAGUGAGGAAGAACGCCUGGUGGUUAAUACCCAUCAGGAAAGACAUCACUCACAGAAGAAGCACCGGCUAACUCCGUGCCAGCAGCCGCGGUAAUACGGAGGGUGCGAGCGUUAAUCGGAAUUACUGGGCGUAAAGCGCGCGUAGGUGGCUUGAUAAGCCGGUUGUGAAAGCCCCGGGCUCAACCUGGGAACGGCAUCCGGAACUGUCAAGCUAGAGUGCAGGAGAGGAAGGUAGAAUUCCCGGUGUAGCGGUGAAAUGCGUAGAGAUCGGGAGGAAUACCAGUGGCGAAGGCGGCCUUCUGGACUGACACUGACACUGAGGUGCGAAAGCGUGGGUAGCAAACAGGAUUAGAUACCCUAGUAGUC
rnacentral:rRNA from 1 species